GAGCCUGCACACGUUUAUGAAGUGAUCGAGAUAAAAUCUGAAACACAACGAGACUCAGAUGGAAAUUUGGUCACCACUUUAUAGAAGCAAGAAACAGGGGAUGAAAUUUGCAAUAUUAUGAGCAAAGUUUAAAACAAUUUAGUUUAAGAUAAUCACAGUUAAUUUACAUUUUUAUAUAAACACGUAGAUGCUUAUUAAGGGUGUCCCAAAU